CACACGCGCACGGUCGCAUUCGCACACAGCUCAACCAGAGAGUGCAGAAGGAGGUGUCACUGCGAAGCGGCGUGCGGUGCAGCAUAGUGGCGAAUGGCCAAGACAUUUCCCCGCCUCUCUCUUCUGGUGGAAGAAGAUCCGCUGCCGCACCGCACCGCGUCGAAUGGAAUCGCUUUGCUCCCGCCCUCCGCCUCCCAUGGCACCUUUGUCGCUGUCGUGGCGCAUGAAGCUGCUUCCACGGCACCCGUGGGCGGUGCUUGCGGCCUGUUGAGGCCGCAGACAUCUGCAAAGGCACCUAUCUUGAGGGUUGACGUGUACACACUGUGCUCCUCGUCCUUGUGGACGGCAGGCGCAGCAUCUAACGCUCAUAUGCAAGCCCCUGAUAUGAUGCUGGUGCACACCGUCCCUAUUUUUGACAAUGACCUUCGCUGUACACUUCCGCGGGACCCAACACGGUCGCAGAUGGUGGGCAAGCGCACUGCUGAUUUGCCGUGCACGUCUCCUGCAACGGACUCCGCGGAGACGGGUGCUUUGACGGCGGCAGCGUGGACAGGCAAACACUUCCUCUUGCCACCAUCGACGGGCACGGUGCAGCCAGAAACCCCCUCAUUGGUGGAGGUGGAGCAGGUCGCGUGGGUGGGUCUCAGAUUUUUGGCUGUGAAGACGCGGCAGCGGCAAGUGCUGCUUGUUCGGUCUGGUCUCACAGAAAGCGCCAGCUCGCCGAGCUCGGAAGGCGACGACGACGCACAGUUUGCCGCACUUGAGGGGCCUCACGGCCGCCACCGCGACUCUAGCGCCGUGUGCGCGUCCUUUGCGCGCGUCACAGACUUCUGCACCGCGAGCACUGCUGGCAGACGGGCAAGCAUUCGUGCGGAAUGCUCACCGGUGUCGGUUAUGAUCGUAGCGGGACUGAAAAGGGUUACCGGUGUGGUGUGCUGCGGCGGGGCAGGACUGGCGGCAGAUCCAGCGCGAAAGGCGGCGUCAUCGCAGCCAUCGCAGGUGAAUUGGCAGCCUCUAGUAAAGGAGCACACGUGGAAUAUCGGACCCUUCAAUCGCGUGGCGGCGACGGCUCGCGAUGACGCCCAAGUGUGCAUCUGUGCCACAUCGCUGCGCGGUAGCGUGGAGGUGUACGCUUGGACGGUGCACAGUACCGGCGGAGAUGCGGUGCCGGUGUGUGUGCACCAGGUUUUAAUGGCACCUGGGCAUUUCUUUUACGGAAUCGCUGUUGCUGCUGCCGUGGUGCCGCCGCACGAGACAGCAAAGCAGGCGGCGCAGGACGUGAGCUUCUGGGUCAUGGGCGGUGAGUCUGCGGUAGCGGAGGACGGUCGGACAGCGCUGAGCUGCGAUGCAGAGGCAAAGUACUCGGCCCUGCCAGCUCUGCGGGGCCUUGACGGACGUGUGAUUCAGGUAAACUCACAGUCAGCGGAGCGUGCUUGGAAAGAUCCGAGCAGCGACGCAUCUCAUGCAAGUUUGGCGGCAGGGAGUGCCGCCCCUCGCACCUUGAAUUCCCUCUGGGCGGCGCCGUCGAAUGGUUCAGCACAAGCAUCCGACCGGAUUGCCCAGCACACCGCCGUUUCAGGAGGCGCAGACCCGGCCCUUUGGGGGACCGCGCUUUCCGCACUCGAGGCCGUGUCGAGCCUCCGAAUAGAGGCUCCAUGCUUCCUGCCGCAGGAGAGAAGAGGUGCGCUAAAGGACGACGGAGCCUACAUGCACACCAGGCCGGGUUGUGCGCUAACAAAGAGGUACGCUCUUCUCGUACACGCCUCUGCGAAACGCGCAAGCGGCACUGGCGACGGCUCGCUCGCCAUGCCCGCUUCGUCUCCUCAAUGUGUCGAUGACGAGGAAACGGUAGCGUGGAGCAGUGCUUUCAUGUCACUGGACAGCCCCGACGGCGCUGCGGCGUUGGACUGGCUAGCUGAGGCGCCGACAGAGACUGGUACACCACCUCCGUUUUGCCUUGCAUCUGUCGCACCCGCACUUGCGACAGAUGGCGAGCGUCGGGCGAGCAGCGCCACCGUCGUACAGCAUAUGCACGCCCUCAUCCUUUUUACGCCCCGUCGUAUCCUGCAAUUCGACGUGUGCUACCGGCGCGAGUCGACUGGUGACAGCAUGACGCGGCUCGGGUUCGAAGUGCACGGGACCUACGAGGUUCACCGGCCGCAGCGCAUUGUCGGCCUAGUCCCUCUUCCCUCGCCGAAGGCCCCAGCGCCGCUUCUUUUCUUCUACGGAUCGGCUAGCAGCAUCAGAGCAAACGGCGUUGGCAGCGGUGAGGAUACGCGGUCCUUGUACGGACAACAGAGGCGGAGGUCGACGUGGGCUGUCGUCGUGGAGGUUCAAGCUUCUCUGCUUCAUUGGCUCACAACGUGGAGCUCGCAGGCGACGGCGAAGGCGAUGCUGCUGAGCAGCAGUGACGUGCAAGCCCACCUCUGUGAAUCGGAACUCUUCGACAAGGUGCAGGCGAUGGUCCAGGCAGAGUGCGCACGCAUCCAUCGUCAUUUAGACGACCGCAUGGACCGAUUGGAAGCCAUACUGCAACGACUCUUUCGGUCUUGAGAAUAAAAAGCCAGAAGAAGAGAUGGCCGGGAAUGGCGCAUCGUUGCCGCGCCGGCACACAUUCACCCAGCCGUAUCCAUCUUCUACCCAUUCGUUGGAAGCGAGAGCAUCACAGC
rnacentral:misc_RNA from 1 species